UACAGAGGGUGCGAGCGUUGUCCGGAAUCACUGGGCGUAAAGGGCGCGUAGGUGGCGCGACAAGUCAGUGGUGAAAGUUCGACGCUCAACGUCGAAUCGGCCACUGAUACUGUUGGGCUUGAGCACUGUAGAGGCUAAUGGAAUUCCGGGUGUAACGGUGGAAUGCGUAGAGAUCCGGAAGAACACCGGUGGCGAAGGCGGUUAGCUGGGCAGUUGCUGACACUGAGGCGCGACAGCGUGGGGAGCAAACAGG
rnacentral:rRNA from 1 species